AUUGAACGCUGGCGGCAUGCUUUACACAUGCAAGUCGAACGGCAGCGCGGGCUUCGGCCUGGCGGCGAGUGGCGAACGGGUGAGUAAUACAUCGGAACGUGCCCAGUAGUGGGGGAUAGCUCGGCGAAAGCCGGAUUAAUGCCGCAUACGACCUGAGGGUGAAAGCGGGGGAUCUUCGGACCUCGCGCUAUUGGAGCGGCCGAUGGCAGAUUAGCUAGUUGGUGGGGUAAAGGCCUACCAAGGCGACGAUCUGUAGCUGGUCUGAGAGGACGACCAGCCACACUGGGACUGAGACACGGCCCAGACUCCUACGGGAGGCAGCAGUGGGGAAUUUUGGACAAUGGGCGAAAGCCUGAUCCAGCAAUGCCGCGUGUGUGAUGAAGGCCUUCGGGUUGUAAAGCACUUUUGGCGGGAACGAAAAGGACUGUGCCAAUACCACGGUUCGAUGACGGUACCCGCAGAAUAAGCACCGGCUAACUACGUG
rnacentral:rRNA from 1 species